rnacentral:rRNA from 1 species
GGAAGGAUCAUUAGCGAAAAAUAGGCACUCUUAUUUGUCGAUUCCUGUGCAUCUUUUGGGGGUUAUUCCCUGUUUUUUUGAAGCUCCAUAUGUGUGUGUGUAAAAAGUUGAUUUUAUAAAAAUGAACAACUUUCAGCAACGGAUCUCUUGGCUCUCGCAUCGAUGAAGAACGCAGCGAAAUGCGAUAAGUAGUGUGAAUUGCAGAAUUCAGUGAAUCAUCGAAUUUUUGAACGCAUCUUGCACCCUUUGGCAUUCCGAAGGGCAUGCCUGUUUGAGUGCCAUGCUUUAUCUUCUUCAACUGCCGUGUGUGGUAGAUUGGAUGGUGGAGGGUUUGCCGGUGGAUUAGUUCCGGCACCUCUGAAAUGCAGAAGUCAUGGUCGAAAGGCUGCAUCGGCAAUGUGGAGAAUAGAAAUAGAAUUGUCCUGUUCUCAUUUUGUCGUGCUCUUUUAAGAGUUGGCCUCAAAUCAGGCAGGACUACCCGCUGAACUUAAGCAUAUCAAUAAGCGGAGGAAAAGAAACUAACAAGGAUUCCCUCAGUAACUGCGAGUGAAGUGGGAAGAGCUCAAAUUUGAAAUCUGGUGGUCCUCUGUGGGCCGCUCGAGUUGUAAUCUAAAGAAGCGCCGCCCGCGCCGGAACCCAUGUAAAAGUCUUCUGGAAUGGAGCGUCGCAGAGGGUGAGAAUCCCGUCCUCGACAUGGGGGCCUUUUCUGGGGCUUUGUGGUGCGCUCUCGAAGAGUCGAGUUGUUUGGGAAUGCAGCUCAAAACGGGUGGUAAAUGCCAUCUAAAGCUAAAUAUUGGCGAGAGACCGAUAGCGAACAAGUACCGCGAGGGAAAGAUGAAAAGAACUUUGGAAAGAGAGUUAAACAGUACGUGAAAUUGCUGAAAGGGAAACGCUUGAAGUCAGUCGCAUCGGCCGGGAAUCAACCUCUUGCUUGUGCGGGGUGCACUUCCCUGAUUUCCGAUGGGCCAGCAUCGAUUUUGACCAUCGGAGAAGGGUCGUCGGGAAUGUGGCAUCGCUCUUGUUGAUGUGUUAUAGCCUGUCGAUCAUAUGCGGUGGUUGGGAUCGAGGAGUUCAGCACACCUCUUGAGAAGGGGGCUCUCCACUUGCUGGAAGAUUUGUGCUUGGGAUGGCUGGCGUAAUGGCUUUAAGCGACCCGUCUUGAAACACGGACCAAGGAGUCUAACAUGCCUGCGAGUGUUUGGGCAGAGAAACCCAUGCGCGGAAUGAAAGUGAGGGUUGAGAUCCCCUCUAGGGGGGGAGCAUCGACGCCUGGACCGGAGCUUUUUGCGACGGACCCAUGGUGAAGCAUGCAUGUUGGGACCCGAAAGAUGGUGAACUAUGCCUGAAUAGGGUGAAGCCAGAGGAAACUCUGGUGGAGGCUCGUAGCGAU